rnacentral:tRNA from 1 species
GCACAGGUAGUUCAGUGGUAGAACUCCUGCCCCCGGUAAGCGGAAGCCCCGGGUUCGAUUCCCGGUCUGUGCA